rnacentral:lncRNA from 1 species
UUUUUCUUUCAUUUUUAUCAUGCCAUGUGUUUCCUUGAGUGGCGAGAUGAAGUUUACAAUACCGUCGAGACAUGUGCAUAUUUUUAAGGCUCGUUGGGAUCUCUUUUUUUUAGAGUAUACGCCAAAGCCGUACCAUAUUUUUAUAGAAGAGAGCAACAUAUUUACAAGAGACUAGACACGGAUGCGAACACCCAGCUAGCGACACCCACACCACACGGUACAAACUAUACUACUCUCUCACGAAAGGUUCUAAGCGUCCAACUCCCGUGGUCUUCCACUCCUUCAGCUCAUCCAUGAUUUGGCCCACCAAGAGUUGAGGUGUCCUUUGCUGCCCGAUGCGACUCUUCCACUCCUUCAGCUCAUCCAUGAUUUGGCCCACCAAGAGUUGAGGUGUCCUUUGCUGCCCGAUGCGACCAAACACCUGCGUGUUUCGUUGUUUCCAAAUAGACCAAGUUAUGACUAUUACAAGCGUG